GCAUUGGUAGUUCAGUGGUAGAAUUCUCAUCUUCCAUGUGGAAGACAUGGGUUGAAUUCCCAGCCAAUGCA
rnacentral:tRNA from 1 species